GGGAGGGAUGAUAGUUCAGUGGUAGAGCAUCUGCCUCGUAAGCAGAAGGUCCCAGGUUCAAUCCCCGGCAUCUCCCA